rnacentral:rRNA from 1 species
GAUGAACGCUAGCGGCAGGCCUAAUACAUGCAAGUCGAGGGGUAUGGGUUGCUUGCAACCCAGAGACCGGCGCACGGGUGCGUAACGCGUAUGCAAUCUACCUUAAUCAGGGGGAUAGCCCGGAGAAAUCCGGAUUAACACCGCAUAACAUUGAGUUGUGGCAUCACAGUUCAAUCAAAUAUUUAUAGGAUUAAGAUGAGCAUGCGUGACAUUAGUUAGUUGGUGAGGUAACGGCUCACCAAGACCACGAUGUCUAGGGGAUCUGAGAGGAUGACCCCCCAAACUGGUACUGAGACACGGACCAGACUCCUACGGGAGGCAGCAGUAAGGAAUAUUGGUCAAUGGGCGCAAGCCUGAACCAGCCAUGCCGCGUGCAGGAAGACGGCCCUAUGGGUUGUAAACUGCUUUUGUACCGGAAUAAACCUUCUCUUGCGAGAGAAGCUGAACGUACGGUAAGAAUAAGGAUCGGCUAACUCCGUG